rnacentral:rRNA from 1 species
GAUGAGUAGGGCGGGACACGUGGUAUCCUGUCUGAAUAUGGGGGGACCAUCCUCCAAGGCUAAAUACUCCUGACUGACCGAUAGUGAACCAGUACCGUGAGGGAAAGGCGAAAAGAACCCCGGCGAGGGGAGUGAAAAAGAACCUGAAACCGUGUACGUACAAGCAGUGGGAGCACAGAGCAAUCUGUGUGACUGCGUACCUUUUGUAUAAUGGGUCAGCGACUUAUAUUCUGUAGCAAGGUUAACCGAAUAGGGGAGCCGAAGGGAAACCGAGUCUUAACUGGGCGUUAAGUUGCAGGGUAUAGACCCGAAACCCGGUGAUCUAGCCAUGGGCAGGUUGAAGGUUGGGUAACACUAACUGGAGGACCGAACCGACUAAUGUUGAAAAAUUAGCGGAUGACUUGUGGCUGGGGGUGAAAGGCCAAUCAAACCGGGAGAUAGCUGGUUCUCCCCGAAAGCUAUUUAGGUAGCGCCUCGUGAAUUCAUCUCCGGGGGUAGAGCACUGUUUCGGCAAGGGGGUCAUCCCGACUUACCAACCCGAUGCAAACUGCGAAUACCGGAGAAUGUUAUCACGGGAGACACACGGCGGGUGCUAACGUCCGUCGUGAAGAGGGAAACAACCCAGACCGCCAGCUAAGGUCCCAAAGUCAUGGUUAAGUGGGAAACGAUGUGGGAAGGCCCAGACAGCCAGGAUGUUGGCUUAGAAGCAGCCAUCAUUUAAAGAAAGCGUAAUAGCUCACUGGUCGAGUCGGCCUGCGCGGAAGAUGUAACGGGGCUAAACCAUGCACCGAAGCUGCGGCAGCGACGCUUAUGCGUUGUUGGGUAGGGGAGCGUUCUGUAAGCCUGCGAAGGUGUGCUGUGAGGCAUGCUGGAGGUAUCAGAAGUGCGAAUGCUGACAUAAGUAACGAUAAAGCGGGUGAAAAGCCCGCUCGCCGGAAGACCAAGGGUUCCUGUCCAACGUUAAUCGGGGCAGGGUGAGUCGACCCCUAAGGCGAGGCCGAAAGGCGUAGUCGAUGGGAAACAGGUUAAUAUUCCUGUACUUGGUGUUACUGCGAAGGGGGGACGGAGAAGGCUAUGUUGGCCGGGCGACGGUUGUCCCGGUUUAAGCGUGUAGGCUGGUUUUCCAGGCAAAUCCGGAAAAUCAAGGCUGAGGCGUGAUGACGAGGCACUACGGUGCUGAAGCAACAAAUGCCCUGCUUCCAGGAAAAGCCUCUAAGCAUCAGGUAACAUCAAAUCGUACCCCAAACCGACACAGGUGGUCAGGUAGAGAAUACCAAGGCGCUUGAGAGAACUCGGGUGAAGGAACUAGGCAAAAUGGUGCCGUAACUUCGGGAGAAGGCACGCUGAUAUGUAGGUGAAGUCCCUCGCGG